UACGUAGGGUGCGAGCGUUAAUCGGAAUUACUGGGCGUAAAGCGUGCGCAGGCGGUUUUGUAAGCCAGAUGUGAAAGCCCCGGGCUUAACCUGGGAAUGGCAUUUGGGACUGCAAGGCUGGAGUGUGGCAGAGGAGACUGGAAUUCCUGGUGUAGCAGUGAAAUGCGUAGAUAUCAGGAGGAACACCGGUGGCGAAGGCGGCUUUCUGGACAGUAACUGACGCUGAGGCGCGAAAGCUAGGGGAGCAAACAGG
rnacentral:rRNA from 1 species